GAAAAUCCGUCGGUUUUAGAAAUCGUGAGGGUUCAAGUCCCUCUAUCCCC
rnacentral:tRNA from 14 species